CCAUGCAGUCGAGCGGAAGGCCACUUCGGUGGUACUCGAGCGGCGAACGGGUGAGUAACACGUGAGUAAUCUGCCCCUGGCUUCGGGAUAGCCACCGGAAACGGUGAUUAAUACCGGAUAUGACAUGGACUCGCAUGGGUUUGUGUGGAAAGUUUUUCGGCCAGGGAUGUGCUCGCGGCCUAUCAGCUUGAUGGUGAGGUAAUGGCUCACCAUGGCUUCGACGGGUAGCCGGCCUGAGAGGGUGACCGGCCACACUGGGACUGAGACACGGCCCAGACUCCUACGGGAGGCAGCAGUGGGGAAUAUUGGACAAUGGGCGGAAGCCUGAUCCAGCAACGCCGCGUGAGGGAUGACGGCCUUCGGGUUGUAAACCUCUUUCAGUACCGACGAAGCGCAAGUGACGGUAGGUACAGAAGAAGCACCGGCCAACUACGUGCCAGCAGCCGCGGUAAUACGUAGGGUGCGAGCGUUGUCCGGAAUUAUUGGGCGUAAAGGGCUCGUAGGCGGUUUGUCGCGUCGGGAGUGAAAACGCCGUGCUUAACACGGCGCUUGCUUCCGAUACGGGCAGACUAGAGGUAUUCAGGGGAGAACGGAAUUCCUGGUGUAGCGGUGAAAUGCGCAGAUAUCAGGAGGAACACCGGUGGCGAAGGCGGUUCUCUGGGAAUGACCUGACGCUGAGGAGCGAAAGUGUGGGGAGCGAACAGGAUUAGAUACCCUGGUAGUCCACACCGUAAACGUUGGGCGCUAGGUGUGGGGUCCAUUCCACGGAUUCCGUGCCGCAGCUAACGCAUUAAGCGCCCCGCCUGGGGAGUACGGCC
rnacentral:rRNA from 1 species